AUACGUAGGUGACAAGCGUUAUCCGGAUUUACUGGGCGUAAAGGGCGUGUAGGCGGUCUUGCAAGUCAGAAGUGAAAUUCCUGAGCUCAACUCGGGCGCUGCUUCUGAAACUGCAGGACUUGAGUGCUGGAGGGGAUAGCGGAAUUCCUAGUGGAGCGGUAAAAUGCGCAGAUAUUAGGAAGAACACCAGUGGCGAAGGCGGCCUGCUGGACGACAACUGACGCUGAGGCGCGAAAGCGUGGGGAGCAAACAGGAUUAGAUACCCUGGGAGUCCACGCUGUAAACGAUGAAUACUAGGUGUGGGGGGACUGACCCCCUCCGUGCCGCAGUUAACACAAUAAGAAUUCCACCUGGGGAGUACGAUCGCAAGAUUGAAACUCAAAGGAAUUGACGGGG
rnacentral:rRNA from 1 species